GGCACUUGGGGGUCAGAGGCACUUGGGGGUCAGUGACAUUGGGGACAGUGGCACUUGGGGGACAGUGGCACUUGAGGGUCAGUGACAUUUGGGGAGAGUGGCACUUGGAGGUCAGUGACAUUUGGGGUCAGUGGCACUUGGGGGUCGGUGACAUUUGGGGUCAGUGACAUUUGGGGUCAGUGGCACUUGGGGGUCAGUGACAUUUGGGGAGAGUGGCACUUGGGGGUCCGUGGCACUUGGGGGUCAGUGGCACUUGGGGGUCAGGUGGUGACACCUCCACUCUGGGUGUCCCCAACAGUCGGUGGCACUGUCCCUUGUGUCCCCUCUGUCCCCAGUGUCCCCACUCCCAGUGUCACCUCCCAUGUUGUCCCUUCCUACAGUGUCACCUCCACUCCCGGUGUCCCCAGCAGUCGGUGGCACUGUCCCAGGUGUCCCCUCUGUCGCCAGUGUCCCCACUCCCGGUGUCACCUCCACUCCGGGUGUCCCCAACAGUCGGUGCCACUGUCCCUUGUGUCCCCUCUGUCCCCAGUGUCCCCACUCCCAGUGUCACCUCCACUCCCGGUGUCCCCAACAGUCGGUGCCACUGUCCCUUGUGUCCCCUCUGUCCCCGGAGUCCCCACUCCAGGUGUCACCUCCCCUCCUGGUGUCCCCAGCAGUCGGUGGCACUGUCCCUGCUGUCCCCUCUGCCCCGAAUGUCCCCACUCCCGGUGUCACCUUCACUCCCGGUGUCCCCAACAGUCGGUGCCACUGUCCCUUGUGUCCCCUCUGCCCCCAGUGUCCCCAGUCCCGGUGUCACCUCCACUCCCAGUGUCCCCACUCCCAGUGUCACCUCCACUCCCGGUGUCCCCAACAGUCGGUGGCACUGUCCCUUGUGUCCCCUCUGCCCCGAAUGUCCCCACUCCCGGUGUCCCCUCCACUCCCGGUGUCCCCAACAGUCGGUGGCACUGUCCCUGCUGUCCCCUCCACUCCCAGUGUCCCCUCCCAGGGUGUCCCCUCCCAUGGUGUCCCUUCUCCCAGUGUCCCCUCCACUCUCGGUGUCCCCAACAGUCAGUGCCACUGUUCCUUGUGUCCCCUGUCCCCAUUGUCCCCUCUCCCGGUGUCCCCUCCCGUUGUGUCCCAACAGUCAGAUUCCCCUGCACUCCCUGAGUCCUCCCCACUCCGUGUCCCCCCCCAGCUCCGUGGGGUUCUGUGCUGUGGGGCUGCGGGUGUUGGUGCUGCGGGUGUUGGUGCUGCGGGUGUUGUUGCUCCCAUGGGUGUUGUUGCUGCGGGUGUUGUUGCUGCGGGUGUUGUUGCUCCCAUGGGUGUUGUUGCUGCGGGUGUUGGUGCUGCGGGUGCUGUUAAUGCUGCAGCUGUUGUCUCUGCGGGUGUUGGUGCUGCAGGUGUCAGUGCUGCGGGUGUUGUUGAUCCCAUGGGUGUUGGUGCUGUGGGUGUUGCUGAUCCCAUGGGUGUUGGUGCUGCGGGUGUUGGUGCUGUGGGUGUUGCUGAUCCCACGGGUGUCGGUGCUGCGGGUGUUGGUGCUGCGGGUGUUGGUGCUCC
ensembl:lncRNA